GCAGUUCUACUGUCAAACUGCAAAUGAAAAGUUCCAUCUGGCAAAAGAGCGAAGCGCUUGAAAUGGAAAGUUUCAGUAAACAGCAACUGCACGUGUACUGCAGGAUUACAUGACGUCUUAGAUGAAAUUAAAAAAAAAAUCUACUGAUAUAUUAUAUUGUUGAAUGUAAAGAACUAGGGAUAAACUGUAAACAAUUGCAAUAUAUGAUGGGAAGGUGGAAACAAACCAUUCUGUGACUAACAGCUGAAUUGGAUAAUUACCUCAGUAACAGUCGAUGUCACAAUAUUUGGAAUCAAAGAGAACAGGAGCGGUGAUAAUUCAGAUAAAUUGGUUCAUAAAGUAAUAUUUUUUAAAAAAAGGAAGCUGUUAAACUUGUAUUUGUCGUCAUCGGAUUUAAUUAAUUAAUAAAAAUCCUUUCUAUC
rnacentral:misc_RNA from 1 species